rnacentral:rRNA from 1 species
CCCUUAGAUGUUCUGGGCCGCACGCGCGCUACACUGACGCAUUCAACGAGUCUAAAACCUGGUCUGAUAGGGCUGGGUAAUCUUUUGAAUGUGCGUCGUGAUUGGGAUAAAUGAUUGUAAUUCUUCAUUUUCAACGAGGAAUGCCUAGUAAACGCAAGUCAUCAGCUUGCAUUGAUUACGUCCCUGCCCUUUGUACACACCGCCCGUCGCACCUACCGAUUGGAUGGUCCGGUGAAGCCUCGGGAUUGUGGUUCUUGCCGCUUUAUUGUGGCGUGACCGCGAGAACUUGUCUAAACCUUAUCAUCUAGAGGAAGGUGAAGUCGUAACA